rnacentral:rRNA from 1 species
UACGUAGGGUGCGAGCGUUGUCCGGAAUUACUGGGCGUAAAGAGCUCGUAGGUGGUUUGUCGCGUUGUUCGUGAAAACUCACAGCUCAACUGUGGGCGUGCGGGCGAUACGGGCAGACUGGAGUACUGCAGGGGAGACUGGAAUUCCUGGUGUAGCGGUGGAAUGCGCAGAUAUCAGGAGGAACACCGAUGGCGAAGGCAGGUCUCUGGGCAUUAACUGACGCUCAUGCACGAAAGCGUGGGGAGCAAACAGG